AACAUCGCGCACCUGCGGGAACCUGCGGAAGGAUCAUUACACAAUAAACAUAUGAAGGCUGCACCGCCAACAGGCGGCAAGGCUGGAGUAUUUUAUUACCCUUGUCUUUUGCGCACUUGUUGUUUCCUGGGCGGGUUCGCCCGCCUCCAGGACCACAUGAUAAACCUUUUUUAUGCAGUUGCAAUCAGCGUCAGUACAACAAAUGUAAAUCAUUUACAACUUUUAGCAACGGAUCUCAGA
rnacentral:misc_RNA from 1 species